rfam:Triticum aestivum genome assembly, contig: Triticum_aestivum_CS42_TGACv1_scaffold_222923_3B
AUUCUACUCCCUCCGUUGCACAAUACAUGCCUUAUAUUUGUCAAAAUAUAUAUGUAUCUAGACAUGUUUUAGUAUAUAGGCACAUCCAUUUUUGGACAAAUGGAAGUCAAGUAUUUUGGAACGGAGGGAGUACACA